rnacentral:rRNA from 1 species
UACGAAGGGGGCUAGCGUUGCUCGGAAUCACUGGGCGUAAAGCGCACGUAGGCGGCUUUUUAAGUCAGGGGUGAAAUCCUGGAGCUCAACUCCAGAACUGCCUUUGAUACUGAGAAGCUUGAGUCCGGGAGAGGUGAGUGGAACUGCGAGUGUAGAUGUGAAAUUCGUAGAUAUUCGCAAGAACACCAGUGGCGAAGGCGGCUCACUGGCCCGGUACUGACGCUGAGGUGCGAAAGCGUGGGGAGCAAACAGG